rnacentral:rRNA from 1 species
AAUGCGUAGAGAUCUGGAGGAAUACCGAUGGCGAAGGCAGCCUUCUGGCAUCAUAUUGACACUGAGGUUCGAAAGCGUGGGUAGCAAACAGGAUUAGAUACCCUGGUAGUCCACGCCGUAAACGAUGUCUACUAGCCGUUGGGACUCUUGAAGUCUUAGUGGCGCAGCUAACGCACUAAGUAGACCGCCUGGGGAGUACGGCCGCAAGGUUAAAACUCAAAUGAAUUGACGGGGGCCCGCACAAGCGGUGGAGCAUGUGGUUUAAUUCGAUGCAACGCGAAGAACCUUACCAGGUCUUGACAUCC